rnacentral:rRNA from 1 species
AUCGACCGCCUGGGGAGUACGGCCGCAAGGUUAAAACUCAAAUGAAUUGACGGGGGCCCGCACAAGCGGUGGAGCAUGUGGUUUAAUUCGAUGCAACGCGAAGAACCUUACCUGGUCUUGACAUCCACAGAACUUGCCAGAGAUGGCUUGGUGCCUUCGGGAACUGUGAGACAGGUGCUGCAUGGCUGUCGUCAGCUCGUGUUGUGAAAUGUUGGGUUAAGUCCCGCAACGAGCGCAACCCUUAUCCUUUGUURCCAGCGGUUMGGCCGGGAACUCAAAGGAGACUGCCAGUGAUAAACUGGAGGAAGGUGGGGAUGACGUCAAGUCAUCAUGGCCCUUACGACCAGGGCUACACACGUGCUACAAUGGCAUAUACAAAGAGAAGCGACCUCGCGAGAGCAAGCGGACCUCAU